AUACCCUGGUAGUCCACGCCCUAAACGAUGUCAACUAGUUGUCGGAUCUAAUUAAGGAUUUGGUAACGUAGCUAACGCGUGAAGUUGACCGCCUGGGGAGUACGGUCGCAAGAUUAAAACUCAAAGGAAUUGACGGGGACCCGCACAAGCGGUGGAUUAUGUGGAUUAAUUCGAUGCAACGCGAAAAACCUUUACCUACCCUUGACAUGCUUGGAAUCUAAUGGAGACAUAAGAGUGCCCGAAAGGGAGCUAAGACACAGGUGCUGCAUGGCUGUCGUCAGCUCGUGUCGUGAGAUGUUGGGUUAAGUCCCGCAACGAGCGCAACCCUUGUCACUAAUUGCUAUCAUUUUUAAUGAGCACUUUAGUGAGACUGCCGGUGACAAACCGGAGGAAGGUGGGGAUGACGUCAAGUCCUCAUGGCCCUUAUGGGUAGGGCUUCACACGUAAUACAAUGGCGUGUACAGAGGGUUGCCAACCCGCGAGGGGGAGCCAAUCUCAGAAAGCACGUCGUAGUCCGGAUCGGAGUCUGC
rnacentral:rRNA from 1 species